UUAACACAUGCAAGUCGAGCGGGCAUAGCAAUAUGUCAGCGGCAGACGGGUGAGUAACGCGUGGGAACGUACCUUUUGGUUCGGAACAACACAGGGAAACUUGUGCUAAUACCGGAUAAGCCCUUACGGGGAAAGAUUUAUCGCCGAAAGAUCGGCCCGCGUCUGAUUAGCUAGUUGGUGAGGUAAUGGCUCACCAAGGCGACGAUCAGUAGCUGGUCUGAGAGGAUGAUCAGCCACAUUGGGACUGAGACACGGCCCAAACUCCUACGGGAGGCAGCAGUGGGGAAUAUUGGACAAUGGGCGCAAGCCUGAUCCAGCCAUGCCGCGUGAGUGAUGAAGGCCCUAGGGUUGUAAAGCUCUUUUGUGCGGGAAGAUAAUGACGGUACCGCAAGAAUAAGCCCCGGCUAACUUCGUGCCAGCAGCCGCAGUAAUACGAAGGGGGCUAGCGUUGCUCGGAAUCACUGGGCGUAAAGGGUGCGUAGGCGGGUCUUUAAGUCAGGGGUGAAAUCCUGGAGCUCAACUCCAGAACUGCCUUUGAUACUGAAGAUCUUGAGUUCGGGAGAGGUGA
rnacentral:rRNA from 1 species